GAGGUUGGCUUAGAAGCAGCCACCCUUGAAAGAGUGCGUAAUAGCUCACUGGUCUAGUGAUUCCGCGCCGACAAUGUAGCGGGGCUCAAGCGUACCGCCGAAGUCGUGUCAUUGCAGCAGAUAGCCCCAACGGGUGCUGUGAUGGGUAGGGGAGCGUCGUGUGCCGGGUGAAGCCGCGCCGGAAGGCAGUGGUGGACGGUUCACGAGUGAGAAUGCAGGCAUGAGUAGCGAUACACACGUGAGAAACGUGUGCGCCGAUUGACUAAGGGUUCCUGGGUCAAGCUGAUCUGCCCAGGGUAAGUCGGGACCUAAGGCGAGGCCGACAGGCGUAGUCGAUGGAUAACCGGUUGAUAUUCCGGUACCCGCUGUGAAGCGUCAAACAUCGAGCCCAUUAAUGCUAAGGCCGUGAAGCCGCCCCGAUCUCUUCGGAGUUGAGGGGAGUGGUGGAGCCGCCGGCCCAAGGUGGUAGUAGGUGAGUGAUGGGGUGACGCAGGAAGGUAGUCCAUCCCGGGCGGUGGUUGUCCCGGGGUAAGGGUGUAGGCCGUGUGAUAGGCAAAUCCGUCACACAUCAAGGCUGAGACCUGAUGCCGAGCCGAUUGUGGUGAAGUGGAUGAUCCUAUGCUGUCGAGAAAAGCCUCUAGCGAGUUUCAUGGCGGCCCGUACCCUAAACCGACUCAGGUGGUCAGGUAGAGAAUACCGAGGCGUUCGGGUGAACUAUGGUUAAGGAACUCGGCAAAAUGCCCCCGUAACUUCGGGAGAAGGGGGGCCACGUCCGGUGAUGAGUCUUGCACUCUGAGCUGGGGGUGGCCGCAGAGACCAGCGAGAAGCGACUGUUUACUAAAAACACAGGUCCGUGCGAAGCCGUAAGGCGAUGUAUACGGACUGACGCCUGCCCGGUGCUGGA
rnacentral:rRNA from 1 species